rnacentral:rRNA from 1 species
GAAUUUUAUAUAAAUUUAUUAAAAUUAAUUAGUUAUAUUAUAAUAAUAUAUUUAUAUUUUGUUGGGAGGAUAGUUAAAUUAAAAAAACUUUAAUAAUAAUUAGAACAUUAAUUUAUGAAUAAUAAAAAUGAGUGAUUAAUAGAAUUAGUUAGAAUUAAUUACCUUAGGGAUAACAGCGUAAUAUCUUUAGAGAGAUCUUAUUAAUAAAGAUGAUUGU